rnacentral:piRNA from 1 species
GACAUCUUUGUGUGUUGCUGUAUUAGAAAA